AUUGAACGCUGGCGGCAUGCCUUACACAUGCAAGUCGAACGGCAGCACGGGAGCAAUCCUGGUGGCGAGUGGCGAACGGGUGAGUAAUAUAUCGGAACGUGCCCAGUAGUGGGGGAUAACUGCUCGAAAGAGCAGCUAAUACCGCAUACGACCUGAGGGUGAAAGGGGGGGAUCGCAAGACCUCUCGCUAUUGGAGCGGACGAAAUCAGAUUAGCUAGUUGGUGGGGUAAAGGCCUACCAAGGCAACGAUCUGUAGUUGGUCUGAGAGGACGACCAGCCACGCUGGGACUGAGACACGGCCCAGACUCCUACGGGAGGCAGCAGUGGGGAAUUUUGGACAAUGGGCGCAAGCCUGAUCCAGCAAUGCCGCGUGCAGGAAGAAGGCCUUCGGGUUGUAAACUGCUUUUGUCAGGGAAGAAAUCCUCUAGGUUAAUACCCUUGGGGGGAUGACGGUACCUGAAGAAUAAGCACCGGCUAACUACGUGCCAGCCGCCGCAGUAAAAC
rnacentral:rRNA from 1 species